AUGCACUAACAUAUGAUGAUGUUCAAAGAGGUUUGAAGCCUUCGUUGUCUCCGUUUUUCAAGAAAAUAGUUAUUUUAUAGUAGUUAUUUCAUCGAUUUAGGGAGUAUUAUGAAGUUUUACUAAAUUAAUUGAUAAACAAAUUAUAACGAUUCGCAUAUACCAUGAAAAAGAGUUUAAAAUACAUUGAUACAAAUUGUAGAAUAUGGUUAGAAAUUUUAAUACAACACUAAAAACUAUAGUCUUCAGUAUAUAAAGGAUUUACCAAAAUCUCAAUAUUUUGCGAAAGGGUUAACACAUGGAUAUGGCGAAAAUUUCAAAAAAUAUGACAUUAUUAUUUUAAUGCAAAAUUACAUCCUUCACUAACAUAUCAUGAUGUUUAAAGAGAUUUGGAGCCUUUGUUUUUCAACAAAAUAGUUAUUUUAUAGUAGUUAUUUCAUUGAUUUAGGGAGUAUUAUGAAGUUUUAUUAAAUUAAUUGAUAAAACAUUAUAA